GGCAGCUGCUGUUUCCUUCACAAACAGCCUUGUGUUCCUUCGACCCCCCCUCACCCUAAUAGCGUGAGAGUUUGAAAAUGACCCACGAAACCCCUUCAUCAUGUAGAGGGGAAGAUUUUAAAACGGCUUUAAAAUGAAUACAGACUGCGAAGAUGGUUCCUUCCAAGUAGGAACAAGUGGGCGACAAGGAGCGGAUCACUUGAUGAUUACCUGUUCUGUUCAUUCCCUCUGGGGCACCUGGCAUUGGCCACCGUCUGAAGACAGGAUACUGGGCUAGAUGGACCUUUGGUCUGACCCAAAUGAAUUAUAAGGCCCCCAUUUGCAAUGAGCUCAGUGUGGAUGGACCCUGUGACUACAGGGAGCUCACUGCAGGACUAGAGCCUAAAAGAGGAAAGACAAUGGGAAUCCACUGAUGGCAUGUGCCUAUUUCAAAAAACAAUAGCUGAAAACCUAAAACUAAGAAAAACCCAUUUAAAAAUCCACCCUCCCUCCUACCCAUAUCCUUUAAAUCCUUCCGUAAAAUUCAUUUCUGCUGUGUUGUUUAGAAGUGUUACACUUCACUGGGGGGGAAAAUGCAAAGCUUCAUUAUUUGCAUCAGAACCAUAAGAUGUACUCAGGCCCAGAGUGAAUUCUUAUAUUGUUACUGUAAACUAUUAUGUACUUUCUCAUCCCUUGCCAUCAUCCCUAUGGGACACAGACCUUGAGUAAAAUUUUCAAAAGCACCUAUGUGACUUAUGAGCCCAAGUCCUGUUUUUAAAGGCACCUUUGAAAAUGUUUUUGGUUGUCUUUUCUCAUGUUUCUGUAAAGUGACUAUCAUAUUUCUGGGUGCUGUAAAUCAAAUAAAUAAUCAUGUUAAUAGCUCUUGAAGAUCUGGCUGUGAGAUGUGCAUGGUUUUAAUGGUGAACAUAAGUCAUUAUACAUUUAUACUUGCAGUCUAUAAACUACAAUUUUAAACUGUUUACAUUCAGAACAGGUUUCUGGGCUUUUCCUGUCCCCCCCCCCCUUCUCUGGAAAACUAUUUAUGAUA